GCUAUGGCCUUCGAAGACGACGAC
rnacentral:siRNA from 1 species